rnacentral:rRNA from 1 species
GACAGAGGUGCCAAGCGUUAGGCGGAAUCAUUGGGCGUAAAGAGCGUGUAGGCGGCUUGGUAAGUCCGCUGUGAAAGUCCAGGGCUCAACCCUGGAAUGCCGGUGGAAACUGCCAAGCUAGAGUCCGGAAGAGGCGAGUGGAAUUCCUGGUGUAGCGGUGAAAUGCGCAGAUAUCAGGAAGAACACCCGUGGCUAAGGCGGCUCUCUAGUACGGUACUGACGCUGAGACGCGAAAGCGUGGGGAGCGAACAGG